CAAACUCUUCGGGGCAAGGUGAAAUUCCUUACCGGCGGUGAUCGAGCAUAGCUCGUCAGUCCGUGACCCGUCCUUCCUUGCUUGGAAGGCGGUGGAGCUGGUGAAAUUCCGGCACCGACAGUUAUAGUCUGGAUGGGAGAAGUUGUUU
rfam:Sporosarcina psychrophila strain DSM 6497, complete genome.